rnacentral:rRNA from 1 species
UUGAACGCUGGCGGCAUGCCUUACACAUGCACGUCGAACGGCAGCGCGGACUUCGGUCUGGCGGCGAGUGGCGAACGGGUGAGUAAUACAUCGGAACGUACCCUGUUGUGGGGGAUAACUAGUCGAAAGAUUAGCUAAUACCGCAUACGACCUGAGGGUGAAAGUGGGGGACCGCAAGGCCUCACGCAGCAGGAGCGGCCGAUGUCUGAUUAGCUAGUUGGUGGGGUAAAGGCCCACCAAGGCGACGAUCAGUAGCUGGUCUGAGAGGACGAUCAGCCACACUGGGACUGAGACACGGCCCAGACUCCUACGGGAGGCAGCAGUGGGGAAUUUUGGACAAUGGGGGCAACCCUGAUCCAGCAAUGCCGCGUGUGUGAAGAAGGCCUUCGGGUUGUAAAGCACUUUUGUCCGGAAAGAAAUCGCGCUGGUUAAUACCUGGCGUGGAUGACGGUACCGGAAGAAUAAGCACCGGCUAACUACGUG